CGUGUAGGCGGUCGAGUAAGUGGGAUGUGAAAUGCCCCGGCUCACCCGGGGACCGGCAUCCCAAACUGCUUGGCUUGAGUAUGGGAGAGGAUGAGGGAAUUCCUGGUGUAGCGGUGAAAUGCGUAGAUAUCAGGAGGAACACCGGUGGCGAAGGCGCUCAUCUGGCCCAAUACUGACGCUGAGGCGCGAAAGCUAGGGGAGCAAACGGGAUUAGAUACCCCGGUAGUCCUAGCCGUAAACGGUGAUCACUAGGUGUUGGAGCAUCGACCCCUCAGUGCCGCAGCUAACGCAUUAAGUGAUCCGCCUGGGGAGUACGGCCGCAAGGUUGAA
rnacentral:rRNA from 1 species